rnacentral:rRNA from 1 species
AGAGUUUGAUCCUGGCUCAGAUUGAACGCUGGCGGCAGGCUUAACACAUGCAAGUCGAGCGGGGGAAGGUAGCUUGCUACCGGACCUAGCGGCGGACGGGUGAGUAAUGCUUAGGAAUCUGCCUAUUAGUGGGGGACAACAUCUCGAAAGGGAUGCUAAUACCGCAUACGUCCUACGGGAGAAAGCAGGGGAUCUUCGGACCUUGCGCUAAUAGAUGAGCCUAAGUCGGAUUAGCUAGUUGGUGGGGUAAAGGCCUACCAAGGCGACGAUCUGUAGCGGGUCUGAGAGGAUGAUCCGCCACACUGGGACUGAGACACGGCCCAGACUCCUACGGGAGGCAGCAGUGGGGAAUAUUGGACAAUGGGGGGAACCCUGAUCCAGCCAUGCCGCGUGUGUGAAGAAGGCCUUAUGGUUGUAAAGCACUUUAAGCGAGGAGGAGGCUACUUUAGUUAAUACCUAGAGAUAGUGGACGUUAC